AGAAAGAGCGUGGAUACAUAGAAGUCUCUAAGUUCGCAUUUGUAUUUCCUUCUGUCGCGUAUACUUCCUUUAGAAUUAAGUAAUUUCUCAAAUUUUCAUUUAACUUUAAUUUAAUUUUUAUUUUACUUUUACUUUUACGUUCGACUCGUCAGACACAUUCGCAAAUCCGUUAUAUUUAACAAAUAAAUAAAUAUUAGAUUUAUAUGACAUAAAUCCUAAAAUUAGGAGCUUGCUUCUUGCCGACUACACCAUGGUCAGCACCCAAGCGGUCCGUAAGGUGGCGACGUCUGGCCAAGAAGACGCGAUCUAUAUUACCAUGCGCGUCACACAAGACCAACGCGUGCGCAAUAGAUUCGAUAUCUCGCAUGAUAGAUCUAAGAUCGUACGCAACAUGGCGCCGGCUGCCAGUCAUAGUACCCGUCGUUAUUAUGUAAUAAAUGUAAUAAAGUACCAAAAUCGCAAGGUGGUCGAGCAAGAUGCGCAAGUGUAAACCAUGUCACGCUAGCGAGUACCAUUCAUUAUCCUAACAUCAUGCGUGUUAUAUCCAGAAAAACGUGCAGUGAUAUAAUUUAUACCUUAGCUUGCCACGUGAUUCUAACUAACAACCUCGAUUGAAUUUAUGUGCAAGUGCAAGUGCAAGUGCAUUUUACGCAGUUUAUCAAUAACUAGCCACUAUCUCUACUCGAUUAACUCUGUCAGUGCUAUACAACUCUCAUGCUGCAAUGCAGUGAUCACCCAAUCCCUAUAAUAAUAUCAAUCAUUAUUUACAUCUACAAAUGUAAAGCCAUCGUAGUAGAAUACCCAUCCACUAACGCGCCAUAGAGUGUUAUCAUCGGUUUCAUUCGUGUUUUAUAGACUAAUAACUCAUUCGUUAGUUAUUUAAUUAUUAAAUUUACAUUAUCAACUGAAUUUCAGCCACUGUCUAGUAAAUACUGCUCGCAAACGAUGUAUCAUUUCUUAAAUCAAAUAUAAGAAUUGCUUAUUUUAUAAAUUAUGUUGUGUAUGUAAAUACAGCCCACUCAAACAUUAUAUCGACCGCGUGACAUUGAUUGUCAACAAGUCCUAUAAACUAAGAUCUUUCAAAUUUCUUUUGCUUCUGAUAGACACAACCACCCGCUAGCCGAUCAAUCAUUUUGCUAUGUUUGGCUUGUCCUUUGUUAUUAUACAAUUACUGUCAUUUUUCAGGACUGACCUCCUCUCUCGUACUGACUGGACACUAUGCUAUAUUUAAUCAAAACUCAUAAUUGUAGCAAUAAAAUACUUCCUAUCAGUACAAUAUAUAAUCUAAAAUUUAAACAUCCUGUUUUAGGGCGACAUAUCCAGUGAAUUAACGGCGCCUGAAUACUUACAUCUCAUUAAAAUUAACGGGUCCAGACCACCGACCUUGGUCAGGACUAUCCUGAUUUACCUUGAUCAUGGCCAUAACCAACAUAGUAUUAACAACAAUAAAACCUAAAAUUAAUAAUUUGGCUCUAACGAUUGCCGCUAUAAUACGACUGAUCUGCAUAUAUAUUCAAUAAUUUAUAAUAAAUAACUUGUUUAUAAAUACACCUUAUUAUAUUUA